rfam:Camelus ferus unplaced genomic scaffold scaffold313, whole genome shotgun sequence.
GAGGGUAUAGCUCAAAUGGUAGAGCGCAUGCUUAGCAUACACGAUGUCCUGAGUUCAAUUCCCAGUACCUCCA